UACAAGCCCCACUCACAAAAUUAAGACCGACCCUUCGAUAUUCUCUUCCAAACCUACACCUCUGUUGGUUCUUCCAGAAAUUACUAGGAGAUUAAACAACCAUCCAUCACUGGCGGCAGCGGCGUCGGCGUGCUAAUCCUUUAGGGUUUCUCCAAAUCUUGUUAGAGUUUAUGGUCAGAGAAUCGAAAGACAAGUUGGAAAUCGAAGAGCUCUCAUUCUUUCUUGUUAAACUUAUGAAUUUCUUCCUUCCUUAAAGUGGUACAGGGAUUGCAGGUGAAAGCAGUGAUGAAGACCUUACAUGAGUGUUGUUGAUCGUUGCUAGACUUUCUUAUUAUGUUCUAGGGUAUUUUAUGUCACGCCCCGAGUCUGGGGGCGAGACCGGCACCCGGUGCCUCACCUAUCCUUGCGUACCACUUGCGACUAAGAGACUCUGAACAUGUAAUGUCAUACUUUGGCCAUGGGCCACAUUACAAGAUAAUGUGCGAUGCAAAAUAUAAAAUUGAAUAGAGACUAACGCUGACUAAAUGUCAACAUAAAGUUGGGCCGGCAAGGCUGCCAUAAUUA